CGGGGUGUAGCGCAGCCUGGUAGCGUAUCCGUCUGGGGGGCGGGGGGUCGCAAGUUCAAAUCUUGUCACCCCGACUA
rnacentral:tRNA from 2 species